rnacentral:rRNA from 1 species
UACGUAGGGUGCAAGCGUUGUCCGGAAUUAUUGGGCGUAAAGAGCUCGUAGGCGGUUCGUCGCGUCGGCUGUGAAAACCCGGAGCUCAACUCCGGGCCUGCAGUCGAUACGGGCGGGCUUGAGUGUUGCAGGGGAGACUGGAAUUCCUGGUGUAGCGGUGAAAUGCGCAGAUAUCAGGAGGAACACCGGUGGCGAAAGCGGGUCUCUGGGCAACUACUGACGCUGAGGAGCGAAAGCGUGGGGAGCGAACAGG